rnacentral:rRNA from 1 species
AGAGUUUGAUCCUGGCUCAGGAUGAACGCUAGCGACAGGCUUAACACAUGCAAGUCGAGGGGCAGCACAGGUAGCAAUACCGGGUGGCGACCGGCGCACGGGUGAGUAACGCGUAUGCAACUUACCUAUCAGAGGGGGAUAACCCGGCGAAAGUCGGACUAAUACCGCAUGAAGCAGGGGUCCCGCAUGGGGAUAUUUGCUAAAGAUUCAUCGCUGAUAGAUAGGCAUGCGUUCCAUUAGGCAGUUGGCGGGGUAACGGCCCACCAAACCGACGAUGGAUAGGGGUUCUGAGAGGAAGGUCCCCCACAUUGGUACUGAGACACGGACCAAACUCCUACGGGAGGCAGCAGUGAGGAAUAUUGGUCAAUGGCCGAGAGGCUGAACCAGCCAAGUCGCGUGAAGGAAGAAGGAUCUAUGGUUUGUAAACUUCUUUUAUAGGGGAAUAAAGUGGAGGACGUGUCCUUUUUUGUAUGUACCCUAUGAAUAAGCAUCGGCUAACUCCGUGCCAGCAGCCGCGGUAAUACGGAGGAUGCGAGCGUUAUCCGGAUUUAUUGGGUUUAAAGGGUGCGUAGGUGGUGAUUUAAGUCAGCGGUGAAAGUUUGUGGCUCAACCAUAAAAUUGCCGUUGAAACUGGGUUACUUGAGUGUGUUUGAGGUAGGCGGAAUGCGUGGUGUAGCGGUGAAAUGCAUAGAUAUCACGCAGAACUCCGAUUGCGAAGGCAGCUUACUAAACCAUAACUGACACUGAAGCACGAAAGCGUGGGGAUCAAACAGGAUUAGAUACCCUGGUAGUCCACGCAGUAAACGAUGAUUACUAGCAGUUUGCGAUACAAUGUAAGCUCUACAGCGAAAGCGUUAAGUAAUCCACCUGGGGAGUACGCCGGCAACGGUGAAACUCAAAGGAAUUGACGGGGGCCCGCACAAGCGGAGGAACAUGUGGUUUAA